CCGCCCCUCCCCGUUUACUUUCACUCAAUCUCAUAAUAAAUUUUUUUUAUUUUUCCUCCGUUUUAUUAACUCCCUUUUUUUGGGGCCCUUUUCCUCUAAAGACCACAUCCCCCCAAUCGGCGAUCCACCGGCAUCUCCCCGCGCCGCCGAUCGCCGGAGCUGCUCCGCCGCGCCGCCCCGAACCUCGCCGCCCUCAGCCACCGUGCACGUUAUCAGGUGGACCGGAGAAUAUAAACUCGAGAUUCAAAGCAAGUUGUGGUAGUACAGCCAGCGGAUAAUUUCGUUAUUUAGCAUCAAGACUUGAUAAGGCGGCUCUACAUGGAAGUCAAGCUUGUUUCUGUAUCAAAGAUGCUGAAGUGACCGUGGCUUCCAUUCAAGCACUACUGUUCUAAAGCAAUUCACUACAUGGAAGUAAACAAAGAAGAGGCCCUUAAGGCAAAGAAAUUGCUGAGCGAUUUGCUGAAAAGACUUUGCUGCAAAAAGUUAUGCCUUGAAGGCUAAAAAGCUGUGGCUGAACUGGAUGGUAUAUCUCAGAUGGUGGCCACUUUCUUCGACAUUUAUGUGGCUUCUGCAGUACACUUUAAUGGUGAGGUAGAUUAUUAUUCGAUUCUUGGGUUAAACCUACUGCAGAUAAAUAUGCAGUGAAGAGACAGUACAGGAAGUUGGCUGUUCUCCUUCACCCUGAUAAAAACAAAUGUGUUGGAGCUGAUGGUGCUUUUAAACUUGUUUCUGAGGCAUGGACUCUUUUGUCGGACAAUGCUAAGAGAGGCUCUUAUGAUCAAAGAGAAAUCAACACUCGGCAUCGUUGGUUUCACAGCCAAGUUUAUCUUCAGUACACGGGGCUGGUUAUACAACACAUGGUAACUGCUUCAGUCCACCCACAGCUCAACCUACAGUUGAUACUUUUUCUGGACUGUCUGCACGUCUUGUAAAGUUCAGUAUGAAUAUCUUCGUAAGUACGUCAACAAGAGACUUUCAUGUAAAAAAAUUGCCGCAUUUUGUUGCUGUGGAGACCGGUACCGCUCCAGUUACUGGGUCUUUUCCCUAUAGUCCUUAUACUUAUCUCCCGGUAAUGGAUAUGGAAGCCACACAGAUCUGAUGGCAUGUCCUACGUCCCAACAAAUGCCACUUAUUUUGUGGAAAUGGAGUGUCAGAAAGCUAUCACCGGACAGGGCUAUGAUUACACCUCGAACCCAAAACAAGUGAUGCAGUUAAACCAGCCAAUGGUAAAGGUUCAUAAAGCUAGACACAGAAGCAGUGAAAAGCAUGCUACUAGGAAUACUCUGGCAGACAGUGGUCCACAUAUGUCUGGUGGUGUUAAUGGAUCAUCUGGGUUGAACACGGUUAGACCUGACAAACCUGACAAGAGAAGGAAGAAAUUGCUGAUGGACAAGGCUAGGACAGAAAUCCAGAAGAAAUUAGAAGAGAUGAAGCAGAAAGUCGCAGCAGCUGCAGCAGCAAAGAGGCUGCGAGGUUACAGGCUGAAGCUGCUGGUCAGUCCAAGUUAGUUAGUCAUUCAAAAGCUAGUAGAAGUGGACCAGUCACGAUAACAGUCCCUGACCCUGAUUUCCAUGAUUUUGACAAGGACCGAUCUGAGGAAUGUUUCAAGCCCAAAGCAAAUAUGGGCUAUUUAUGAUGAAGAAAGAUGGCAUGCCUCGACUUUAUUGUCUGAUCCGUCAGAUCAUCUCGGUAAAGCCAUUCAAGAUCCUGAUCAGUUACUUGAGUUCUAAAACUGAUUCUGAAUUUGGGUCAGUUAACUGGAUAGAUCGUGGAUUUACCAAAUCAUGUGGUCAUUUUAGGGCAUGGACCUCUGAUGUUGUUGAUCAUGUGAACAUCUUCUCUCAUCUACUGAGUAAGGAAAAGCUGGCCGUGGAGGUUGUGUUCGCAUAUACCCAAGAGUGGAGAUGUAUGGGCUGUUUAUCGUAGUGGUCUCCCCAUUGGGACCGAUCCACACCAGCUGAGGUGAGGCAUCAAUAUGAGAUGGUAGAGGUGGUGAUGAUUAUUCUGAAGAGCUUGGUGUCUGUGUUACCCCCUUUGUAAAAUUGGAAGGGUACAAGACAGUAUACCAGAGGAAUACAAGCAAGGAUGCACUUAGGUGGAUCCCAAGGAGAGAUGUUACGCUUUUCGCACGGGUCCCAUCUUGGUCUCUGAAGAGAGAAACAAGCAGUAACUUGCCUGAUUGGCUGCUGGGAUCUGGACCCUGCUGCAACUCCUGAUGAACUCCUCCACGCUGGAAUUGAAGUCCCUGCCUAAU